CCUACGGGAGGCAGCAGUGAGGAAUAUUGGACAAUGGGCGCAAGCCUGAUCCAGCCAUGCCGCGUGCAGGAAGAAGCAUCUAUGGUGUGUAAACUGCUUUUGUACAGGAAGAAACACUCCCUCGUGAGGGAGCUUGACGGUACUGUAAGAAUAAGGACCGGCUAACUCCGUACCAGCAGCCGCGGUAAUACGGAGGGUCCGAGCGUUAUCCGGAAUCAUUGGGUUUAAAGGGUCCGUAGGCGGUUUAAUAAGUCAGUGGUGAAAUCUGGUCGCUCAACGAUCAAACGGCCAUUGAUACUGUUAGACUUGAAUUAUAAGGAAGUAACUAGAAUAUGUAGUGUAGCGGUGAAAUGCUUAGAUAUUACAUGGAAUACCAAUUGCGAAGGCAGGUUACUACUUAUGGAUUGACGCUGAUGGACGAAAGCGUGGGGAGCGAACAGGAUUAGAUACCCUGGUAGUCCACGCCGUAAACGAUGGAUACUAGCUGUUCGGAGCAAUCUGAGUGGCUAAGCGAAAGUGAUAAGUAUCCCACCUGGGGAGUACGUUCGCAAGAAUGAAACUCAAAGGAAUUGACGG
rnacentral:rRNA from 1 species